rnacentral:rRNA from 1 species
UAGGGAAUCUUCCACAAUGGACGCAAGUCUGAUAGAGCAACGCCGCGUGAGUGAAGAAGGUUUUCGGACCGUAAAGCUCUGUUGUUGGUGAAGAAGGAUAGAGGUAGUAACUGGCCUUUAUUUGACGGUAAUCAACCAGAAAGUCACGGCUAACUACGUGCCAGCAGCCGCGGUAAUACGUAGGUGGCAAGCGUUGUCCGGAUUUAUUGGGCGUAAAGCGAGCGCAGGCGGAAGAAUAAGUCUGAUGUGAAAGCCCUCGGCUUAACCGAGGAAUUGCAUCGGAAACUGUUUUCUUGAGUGCAGAAGAGGAGAGUAGAACUCCAUGUGUAGCGGUGGAAUGCGUAGAUAUAUGGAGGAAUACCAGUGGCGAAGGCGGCUCUCGU